GGAGGCGGAGGAGGGCGACUGCGGCUCGGCGCCUUUCUUCCAACCCAACAAACGCUUGACGAUAGGCGGGGUGAACGAGUCCAUGUUGGGUAGACAGCUGCCAGGAAUGAAGGAUCCAACAUGCUCAGGUGAAGGCAGGGAAAGGAUCAAGGGAGAGACUGGGAAAAUGGAGGCACAGAGACUGAAGUGAUUAAUGAUGGAUGGAGAGGGUAGGGAACAAACACUUCGUGUUAAAAAACAGCAGAGGUCUUGAGU